UAAAAAUAUAUAAUUAAGAAAUAACGAACUUAAAUAGAACAAAGAAAGUUGCCAAGCCUAUCGUGAAAUGAUUAUUUCGAAUAUGAUUAUAAUUGACCAGUAAUUACGGAAACAUCUAUUACGGCCACAUCCCACAUGCAAAAGGUUAUGUCAUACUUAUACGUCAACUUUUUCAUUUGAAUCUUGCUUUCUGUAAAAUCUAAGAAAACAAAAUAAAGGUAAAAAAUUGUGAAAAGUAAAAAGGAAAAAAAAAAUUAACUGCAAAGUAAAGAAGAGAAUAAAAUAAAAUUAUUGAUCUUAAACUUUGAGCCUUUGAUCUAUGUGCAAAUGUGUUGUUUUAAAAAAAUGAUAGCUACGUACAAGUUGCG
rnacentral:lncRNA from 1 species